UGCGUAGGUGGCAUUGUAAGUCAGAGGUGAAAGCCUACCGCUUAACGGUAGAACUGCCUUUGAUACUGCAGUGCUUGAAUUAGGCUGAGGUUAGCGGAAUGUGACAUGUAGCGGUGAAAUGCAUAGAUAUGUCAUAGAACACCAAUUGCGAAGGCAGCUAACUAGACCUAUAUUGACACUGAGGCACGAAAGCGUGGGGAGCGAACAGGAUUAGAUACCCUGGUAGUCC
rnacentral:rRNA from 1 species